rnacentral:rRNA from 1 species
UACGGAGGGUGCGAGCGUUGUCCGGAAUCACUGGGCGUAAAGCGCGCGUAGGCGGUCCUGUAUGUCGAUUGUGAAAGCCCCGGGCUCAACCUGGGAAUGGCCGUUGAAACUGGCGAACUGGAGUGUGGCAGAGGGGGUGGAAUUCCGCGUGUAGCAGUGAAAUGCGUAGAUAUCGGAAGGAACACCUGUGGCGAAAGCGGCUCACUGGACCAUUACUGACGCUGAGGCACGAAAGCUAGGGGAGCAAACAGG